UGUGUGUAGGGAGGCGUGGGAAAAUCAACAGUAGCUGUGAACCUAGCAUACACUUUGGCUGGUAUGGGUGCAAGAGUUGGUAUAUUUGAUGCUGAUGUCUAUGGUCCAAGCCUACCAACAAUGGUCUCUCCCGAAAAUCGGCUGCUUGAGAUGGACCCAGAGACGAAAAAAAUUAUUCCAACAGAAUACAUGGGAGUCAAGUUAGUUUCUUUCGGGUUUGCUGGAAAAGGGCGUGCAAUAAUGCGAGGUCCAAUGGUUUCUGGUGUUAUCAACCAAUUGCUAACUACUGCUGAAUGUUAUGAAAAGUGUUAGGUGAAAACCAGUUAACUGAGAUGCAAAUGAAAUAACAGCAGCAGCAGGUGUAUGCCCAAGAAAGCAGAACUUUUCGAUGGAUUUGGAGAAAGGCCUGAAAGCUCAGAGAACAAAGAAAUAUCACUGUAAAUAAUAUAAACUUAAUAUAUAAAAUCUAACAUCCAAAUUCAUACAUAUUAUUGCUAUAAAAUAAUAUAGAAUCCAAAAUAGA